UACGUAGGGUGCGAGCGUUAAUCGGAAUUACUGGGCGUAAAGCGCGCGUAGGCGGCUUUGCAAGUCGGGUGUGAAAUCCCCAGGCUUAACCUGGGAACUGCAUUCGAGACUGCAUUGCUAGAGUAUGGGAGAGGGAAGUGGAAUUUCAGGUGUAGCGGUGAAAUGCGUAGAUAUCUGAAAGGAACAUCAGUGGCGAAAAGCGAGUCUCUGGACGACUCCUGACACUGAGGCACGAAAGCUAGGGGAGCAAACAGG
rnacentral:rRNA from 1 species